GAUUUCUGGUAUGACGUUACUAGUCCGCCUGGGUCCACCAGUGUGAGUACUGGUUUGCGUCUGCCAUCCUUGUAGAAAAGCAUUACUGCCGUUCGCGGUGGGUAGUGUUGAUCUACAUCUUUUACUUUGAAAAAAUUAGAGUGUUUCAAGCAGGCUUUAUGCUAUGAAUACAUUAGCAUGGAAUAAUAAUUUAGGACUUCGGUUCUAUUUUGUUGGUUUCUAGGACUGAAGUAAUGAUUGAUAGGGAUAGUUGGGGGUGCUAGUAUUCAGCGGCCAGAGGUGAAAUUCUCGGAUUCGCUGAAGACUAACUUAUGCGAAAGCAUU
rnacentral:rRNA from 1 species